rnacentral:rRNA from 1 species
UACGUAGGGUGCAAGCGUUAAUCGGAAUUACUGGGCGUAAAGCGUGCGCAGGCGGUUUUGUAAGUCAGAUGUGAAAUCCCCGGGCUUAACCUGGGAACUGCGUUUGAAACUACAAGGCUAGAGUGUAGCAGAGGGGGGUGGAAUUCCACGUGUAGCAGUGAAAUGCGUAGAGAUGUGGAGGAACACCGAUGGCGAAGGCAGGUCUCUGGGCUAUAACUGACGCUCAUGCACGAAAGCGUGGGGAGCAAACAGG